rnacentral:rRNA from 1 species
CGAACUUGGCAGAGAUGCCUUGGUGCCUUCGGGAACGCUGAGACAGGUGCUGCAUGGCUGUCGUCAGCUCGUGUUGUGAAAUGUUGGGUUAAGUCCCGCAACGAGCGCAACCCUUAUCCUUUGUUGCCAGCGAUUCGGUCGGGAACUCAAAGGAGACUGCCGGUGAUAAACCGGAGGAAGGUGGGGAUGACGUCAAGUCAUCAUGGCCCUUACGAGUAGGGCUACACACGUGCUACAAUGGCGCAUACAAAGAGAAGCGACCUCGCGAGAGCAAGCGGACCUCAUAAAGUGCGUCGUAGUCCGGAUCGGAGUCUGCAACUCGACUCCGUGAAGUCGGAAUCGCUAGUAAUCGUGGAUCAGAAUGCCACGGUGAACUACGUUCCUGGGCCUUGUACACACCGCCCGUCACACCAUGGGAGUGGGUUGCAGAAGAAGUAGGUAGCUUAACCUUCGGGAGGGCGCUUACCACUUUGUGAUUCAUGACUGGGGUGAAGUCGUAACAAGGUAAGCGUAGCGAG